ACUUAAAAUGUGCAUUACUCUGGGAUAUAUUAUUUGGACUUAGCAUAAUUUUUGCACUGUCCGUUUGUCAUUCUUCUUCAUGCCUGCUGUCAGAAAUGAAUCAGGAGACAAAAGCAAGCCUAAUUGACAGCUCUGGGGAGGCUGAAGGAUAACAGAAAAUAAGGCUGGAGGACUUGAGAGGUGCUGUAAGUCAUCCUUUCCAUCACCAAGGUAGAUCAGCUAAAUCCUGGGCCAUUCCUCAAAGGUGCGUCGAAGUUCCUGAGAACAAGACAAUUUCCACUGUGCAUAAAAUAGCCUGAGUCAGGAGCAUCAGAUCAAAGAUCACCUUUUUUACCCCGCUGCUGAAGCUGUUGUACUCUGGAGACAUUUAUUUAUCCAAAGUAACAGGGCAGUGAUCACUGCAGAGAACUGGGACUUCCUUUCUUCAUUCAAAUAACUAAAGUUUCUAUUGUUUUAAAAAUACCGAACUAAUUAUUUUCCACCAAAGGAACACUAGGUGAUGACUGACCUUUACAUGAAACAACAUGAAUAUGUGAAAGAUGACACGAGCAGAGGAAAUAAGAGAGGUGCUCCAGUGAAUUUUUCUUUACAGUACAUGUAGAAAUUUUCCAUUCUCAGUCAGAACAAAGAUGAAACUUGCAAUCACAAAAAUCUGCUUUGAAUUU